UUGAAUUAUCUUUCGGUAUUACUUCAGAUAAUUCAAUAGUACGAUCAAGAUUUCCUGGAUCCCAAAUAUGGAACCCUAAAGGUUAGAGUCCAUUUGUUGGGUCCACAGAAGGGCCAAAAAACAACAUAACUGCUUUGGACACCCUACCAGUUGAUUUGGGCCUUUGGCAAGAGUUCAGCCCACAAACUUUGAGCCUUGUCAAUGAUCUGGGCACCAAACUCAAUAUUUGGGGAAAACCCGACCAGGAACGCCGCCACACAGCGCCGUCGUGAUUCACCGUCGAUUUGGGUGAGAAGCAACGCAAUACCAUACCACCUCCAAUCUUGGUCGGAUCCACGGGCAGUUGCCCUUUCUGCCUCCAAGUUGCAAAACCUCUUACCCGCAACAACUCCGACGCUGAUCUGGGAAACCCAAAGGAAACCAGAGCCGAAAUUGAUCGCGGUAGAGGGCUCAUCCUCGAUCUGCACACCUUCUUCACAUAUACCUUAUCGACCUUGAGUCUUGCUCUACAAGGUCGAGUCUGACCCAUUGUCGAUGCCAUCAUACGACGCAAAACUUUGCCACCCCAAUACAUAAGAUCUGAAUUGCAUCGAAGGUUUUCAAUGGAAGCUCCAAAAUCGUAGUUGAGUGCACUAGAUGGCCAUAACUGUUUCGAUUGAGAGUUUGCCAACAAAGAUCAGCUUAGAAGGGUCGAUGAUCGAUCCCAAAGGGUGGACCAGAAGGAUCCACUACAGAGAUGGCUGCCUAUGUUGUAUUGAGAUGACAAUGAUUCGAUUCUUGGCAAGAGCAAAAGUAGGAAACAUUGGUAUGGAAACUUACAAGUCAUUGGCUGAUGGUUGCUGGAGUUGAAGGUUGUAAGCAUCAUAGGAAGAAGCAUCCCUGGUCAAAAUUUAAUUUCAUUAACAAAAAAGUUGAUGACAUGCAAGAAGAACAGUAUU